UACGAAGGGGGCGAGCGUUGUUCGGAUUUACUGGGCGUAAAGAGCUCGUAGGCGGCUUGUCACGUCGGGUGUGAAAGCCCGGGGCUUAACCCCGGGUCUGCAUUCGAUACGGGCAGGCUAGAGUGUGGUAGGGGAGAUCGGAAUUCCUGGUGUAGCGGUGAAAUGCGCAGAUAUCAGGAGGAACACCGGUGGCGAAGGCGGAUCUCUGGGCCAUUACUGACGCUGAGGAGCGAAAGCGUGGGGAGCGAACAGG
rnacentral:rRNA from 1 species